rnacentral:rRNA from 1 species
GGGGGGAAAUUAAUUAUUUUAAUAAUUAAUAAAAGAAUUUUUAAUAUAAAUUAUUUUAAUGGGGGUUAAAGUAAUUUAUGGAAAAAAUUGAAAAUUUUAUAGUUUAAUAUGGUAUUGUGAAAGAAUUUUGAAAUAUUUGAAAAUUAAUUAUUUUAAAAGUAAAUUUUAUUUAUUGUAUCUUGUGUAUCAGAGUUUAUUAAAUAAAUUUUAUUUAUAUAAAUUUCUCGAAUUUAAAAGAGUUAAUUAAUUAUAAAAGUUAUUGUAGCAAAAAUAUUUUAAAUAAUUAAUUUGAAAUGAAAUGUUAGUCGUUUUUAAAUAUAUCUAGUUUUUAUAGAAAAAAAUUUAAUUUUUAAUAGAUUUAUUAUUUAUGUUAAUUAAAAAUAAUAUAAAUAAAUUUUAUUAAGAUAAUUUAAGGGAUAAUCUUUAAAUUAAAAUUUUAUAAUUAUAUUAAAUUAAAAAAAAAUUUUAUAAUUUAUAUUGUUAAUAAAUUUUAAUUUAUUAUAAAUAAUUUUAUUAAAAGUUAAAAUUUAAUUUAAUUUAAUUUUUUAUAUAAAAAUAAAUUAAAAUAAUAAAAAUUAAGUUAUAAUGAUAAAAUUAGUAAAAUAAAAUUUAUUAAAAUAAUUUAAGUUUAAUUUUAAUUAUAUAAAAGGAAUUCGGCAAAAAUUUAUAUUCACUUGUUUAUCAAAAACAUGUCUUUUUGAUUUAAUAAUUUAAAGUCUAAUCUGCCCACUGAUUAAAAAUUAAAGGGCUGCAGUAUUUUGACUGUACAAAGGUAGCAUAAUCAUUAGUCUCUUAAUUGGUGACUUGUAUGAAAGAUUGGAUGAGAUAUAAACUGUCUCUUAUAUAAAUUAUUUGAAUUUAAUUUUUUAAUUAAAAAGUUAAAAUUUAUUAAAAAGACGAGAAGACCCUAUAGAGUUUUAUAUUUUUAAAAAUUAAUUUUUUUUUUUAUAUUUUAAUAAAUUAAAAUAUUUUAUUGGGGUGAUAGAAAAAUUAAUUAAACUUUUUAUUUAUUAUUACAUAGAUAAGUGAAUAAUUGAUCCAAUUUUAUUGAUUAUAAGAUAAAAUUACCUUAGGGAUAACAGCGUAAUUUUUUUUUUUAGUUCAUAUAAAAAAAAAAGUUUGCGACCUCGAUGUUGGAUUAAGAUAAAAAUUAAAUGUAGAAGUCUAAAUUUUUGAUCUGUUCGAUCAUUAAAAUCUUACAUGAUCUGAGUUCAAACCGGUGUGAGCCAGGUUGGUUUCUAUCUUUUAAAAAAAAAAUAUUUUAGUACGAAAGGAUCAAAUAUUUUAAUUAAAUUAAUAAAUAUUGAAUAUUAUUAAAUAUAAUAAAAGAUUUUAAGUUAAAAAUUUUUAUUGGUUUAU